CGCAACCUUUUGGACAUCUUGCUCCCAAUCCCAACCUUUAAGAGUAUAUAUAAUCUAUAGGACUAUAUAUAUCUUUAAAGUAUGAAUCUCUUUGUUUAUAGCUAGUAAGCAAUGCAGCUAUAUUAGAACUAUGGUUGCAUUGCUAAGUGGCCCUAAAUAAAGAAAAUUAUCUAUUUAUUCGCUAUCUUGGUCUUUAAGGUGGGGAUCGAGGUUCCUAACUGUGCAGAUCAAGAUCCCAAAAUUUUAAAAAAUUGAGAUUCCUUGAAGAUCCCAUUCCUAGAGUGCCGUAGUAGAUUGCAGAGUUGGAUCGCCACCUAGGUGGGAGAUUUGGUAAAUAGGAUUUCUAGUUUUGGAUCCUACAGACUAACUAAAUGAAGUUGGGAAACUUUUUUGUAAUAUAUUUUUUAUUUUUAAAUUAUUAUUCAUAAGUUUUUUUAAUUAAUUAAGAUUACGGUCCAAUUGGUUCGACUGGCAGUUGGAUAGACUUUGACUGUAUCAAACCUUCACUGGUUUGGUGGCUAGUCUGAUUUUGAUAAUAAUUGCUUCAAACGUCAAGACAAAUUAUUGUUGAGUUUGAAUAUCUCAACUUUCCUCGAACUCAAUAUAAGACAAACAUGGACGAGGGCCAGUCAACAUGUCACAAGCACAAACAUAGGAAAUGUGGAUUGACCUACAUGUAGUAUGGUGGUGUAGAGAUGUCGUGGUUUCAGUUUUGAAGUGUAUUUAACUAUGAGUACGGGUUUCAUGCGAAGACAGCUCUUUAAUGCAACAACUGUGACAGCUAUACAUCUAAAUUUAUAUGGUUCUGAAAGGUAUAUAUUCCUGGAGUGGAUGUUCAUCUAGAUUUCACAUGCAUGAUCUGGCAUUUACAUUUGCAAUUUGUAUAAAUUGAAAAGAUAGAUCCCUAUUGCACAGAUAUCAUCUAGCAUGUUGGGACUUGGGGAUUGUUGAUCGUUGUUGGGUACAGAUUUCUCAUGUAACCUGCAAUGGGUAUAGAUUUGAUGGGUAUAGAUUAUGCAAGUGCAGAUCCUCAACAGUUAUAAAUAUGGCAUUUGUGGAUUCCAUAAUCAUUGAUCCUUGGAGGUUACAAGUCCUUUGUCUAGAGUUCUAUUGAAUACAGCUGGUAUAUAUCCGUGGUGGAAGGAUAAGAUGAAUAUGGAACAAGCAAGUAGAGAUCUUGAUUGGUAUAAAAUUGGUAGGGUGCGAAUCUGGCAGAUACAAGACUUGAUGGCUAUGUACACAUAUCCUUUAUUGGUACUCGUUUCAGUAAAUAUAGAGAGGUCACAUUUGGAUUUCAGCAGCUGUUGAGAUCAGCUUUUUUCUUUGAAAUUUUUUAUACUCAAAUAUCUGAAAACAAAAAGGCAGAGAACAUAUUUUGGAUGAAACUUUAAUGCAAUGAAACAUCAUCUGGUACAAUAUAAAGCAUAUAAGAGAAGUUAUGGGCACAAGCAUGUGGAAGCUUGCAAAUAAACUUAUAAAUCAUUUAUUUACUUCAUAUAAAAGACUGGAGCACUCCAUGAACAAGGAGCUCCCAGGUGCUAAAUCUUAACUUUUGAUCCAUUUAUCUAACUUUUGAUCCAUUCUGAUAAAUGGACUUCAAACUUUAUACAUUUAGGGAGCAGGAAGAUCUACAUCAUGUCUGAGUUGUGCGAGUCCACUCAACUUUAAGAUGUAAUAAUGAAAUUUUCUUUUUUGAAAGAUAAUAUUGGCAAACAUAAUAUUCAUGCUUAUAGAGUUUAAACUCUCAGUAAUUUGCUACCAUUGGAGUUGUUUCAUGCAAAGUCUCUGGUCCAUUAUUUGAAGGUAUAUCUUACUUUGUUACUUCCAUAGAUGACUUCAACUCCUGGACCAUUUCUCUUCAUUUUUUUUUGCUAAUGUUAGCAGUGAAAUUUCAUGAAUGCCUGUAAUGAUAUAGGAAGUAUAAAAAUGUAAUAUGUACAUCUAAUGGACAAAACCAGGCGAAAUGAAAACUUUUCAUAAAAUUAAGUGGGGGAAUGAAUGACUAAGGUCAAUCUUCUGAUGAUUGCUUCAUGCGAGACAACCACUUGAUUUGAUUUCCACAAAAUGUGAGAAAAUAAUAAGUGGUCAAAAAGCCACUCAAAAUUUUCAGCCAACAUUGGGUGUCAAAUUCUACAGGCAGGGGGGCUUUGCUGGAAACCCACAAAAUAACUUUUUUAAGACAGUGUGCUCCAGGUGGUGUUGUAGGGACUAAUUCCCCUUCAGUUUGUGAUAAGGAGAAAGCUGAAUCUUAGUCAGAAGUUCUUGAAGAGUUUGUAAGUAUGUAAUGAACUUAUAGAAACUAAACACUCCUAUAAAUUUAGUGUGGUCUUCUAGUGCAUUAGCCUGGUUGCUUUUGAUAUUGUAAAAUAUUUGAGUUCUUAUUAAUUAUUAUAUGUUAUUUUAUGCCUUUAAUGGUUCAUAUUUACUGAAAGAGACUGCUUGUGGUUUGAUUGUUUUGUCUUUGUAUGAGAACAACUUGAUUGUCAUGGGAGUGACAGAGCUAUUGAUUUGGGGAUCUCGUGUGUGGUGGUUUGUGUUCGAGUUGGGAGAGCUCAAGAGAUUCUGGCCUUCUGGGUAUAUAGUUGUAACAGAAAGCAGCACAUGUAUUUAAUGAUUUAAUGCCAAUAUUGACAUUAUUGUGCAUAAAAUGAUUGUGUGGAACAUGUUUAGCAGAAUGUUAGUGCCUAAUAUGAAGAUUCUCCCCUGAUGAUGGCAAGAAGUUGAUCCUAUGACUUAUUAAGCUGUAUUAUGUGGCCCUAAUCAAUUGAUUCAUUCAUUGUCACAUGGCUUAAUAUAACUUUUGCACAUGGUAUGAAAUAUUUCACUUAUAAGGCACGGAUGGCAUGUUCAUAGGAUUCAAUGUGCAGAGUACUGUAGUUUCAGGUAUCUUGUAGUGAAGGUUUGAGCUAUCCAGAUUGUCUGGGAUAUCUUAUGCGGUUUGAUAUGAGUAGCGAUUUUCUCAGAAGUCAGCACUCAAUGUCCUCCUUUCAUGUCAAUUUGGCUUUGUUUGAUGUAGUUAGAAACAGUAAAAGCAAAAGAUCAAGCAAGGCAUGUAUAUAGUCAUUUAUAUAAGCAGAGUAGAGAGCACCUCAAACAAACAUUGUUGUUUGAGAAAAUACGAUCUGGUUGAAGUGUCUUCUAGCACAUUUGACAAAUAACAGUUUUCUUGUUUUGACAUGCA
rnacentral:lncRNA from 1 species